UAGGGAAUCUUCCACAAUGGACGCAAGUCUGAUGGAGCAACGCCGCGUGAGUGAAGAAGGUCUUCGGAUCGUAAAGCUCUGUUGUUGGUGAAGAAGGAUAGAGGCAGUAACUGGUCUUUAUUUGACGGUAAUCAACCAGAAAGUCACGGCUAACUACGUGCCAGCAGCCGCGGUAAUACGUAGGUGGCAAGCGUUGUCCGGAUUUAUUGGGCGUAAAGCGAGCGCAGGCGGAAUGAUAAGUCUGAUGUGAAAGCCCACGGCUCAACCGUGGAACUGCAUCGGAAACUGUCAUUCUUGAGUGCAGAAGAGGAGAGUGGAACUCCAUGUGUAGCGGUGGAAUGCGUAGAUAUAUGGAAGAACACCAGUGGCGAAGGCGGCUCUCUGGUCUGCAACUGACGCUGAGGCUCGAAAGCAUGGGUAGCGAACAGGAUUAGAUACCCUGGUAGUCCAUGCCGUAAACGAUGAGCGCUAGGUGUUGGGGACUUUCCGGUCCUCAGUGCCGC
rnacentral:rRNA from 1 species